rnacentral:pre_miRNA from 14 species
AGGAAGACAGCCCGCUCGGCCUUUGGAGCCAAAGUUCUGAGACACUCCGACUCUGAGUACGAUAGAAGUCAGUGCACUACAGAACUUUGUCUCCGGAGGCCGCCGACGCCGGGCCGGUGG